UACGUAGGGUGCAAGCGUUGUCCGGAAUUAUUGGGCGUAAAGAGCUCGUAGGCGGUUUGACAAGUCUGAUGUGAAAUCUCUGGGCUCAACCCAGAGUCUGCAUUAGAAACUGUCGGGCUUGAGUAUGGGAGAGGUGGGUGGAAUUUCCGGUGUAGCGGUGAAAUGCGUAGAUAUCGGAAGGAACACCUGUGGCGAAAGCGGCUCACUGGACCAUAACUGACGCUGAGGCGCGAAAGCUAGGGGAGCAAACAGG
rnacentral:rRNA from 1 species